rnacentral:rRNA from 1 species
AGAGUUUGAUCUGGCUCAGAGAGACGUGAAAGGGCCGGCCUAACACAUGCAAGUCGAACGAACCCCCUCUUAAGGGUAGUGGCGGACGGGUGAGUAACACGUGGGAACGUGCCUUUAGGUUCGGAACAACUCAGGGAAACUUGAGCUAAUACCGGAUGUGCCCUUCGGGGGAAAGAUUUAUCGCCUUUAGAGCGGCCCGCGUCUGAUUAGCUUGUUGGUGAGGUAAUGGCUCACCAAGGCGACGAUCAGUAGCUGGUCUGAGAGGAUGACCAGCCACACUGGGACUGAGACACGGCCCAGACUCCUACGGGAGGCAGCAGUGGGGAAUCUUGCGCAAUGGGCGAAAGCCUGGCGCAGCCAUGCCGCGUGGAUGAUGAAGGUCUUAGGAUUGUAAAAUCCUUUCACCGGGGACGAUAAUGACGGUACCCGGAGAAGAAGCCCCGGCUAACUUCGUGCCAGCAGCCGCGAUAAUACGAAGGGGGCUAGCGUUGCUCGGAAUUACUGGGCGUAAAGGGCGCGUAGGCGGACAUUUAAGUCAGGGGUGAAAUCCCGAGGCUCAACCUCGGAACUGCCUUUGAUACUGGGUGUCUUGAGUGUGAGAGAGGUGUGUGGAACUCCGAGUGUAGAGGUGAAAUUCGUAGAUAUUCGGAAAGAACACCAGUGGCGAAAGCGACACACUGGGCUCAUUACUGACGCUGAGGCG